rnacentral:rRNA from 1 species
UACGGGGGGGGCAAGCGUUGUUCGGAAUUACUGGGCGUAAAGGGCGCGUAGGCGGUUCGCUACGUCGGAUGUGAAAACUCUGGGCUCAACCCAGAGCCUGCAUCCGAAACUGGCGGGCUAGAGUUCUGGAGGGGGUAGCGGAAUUCCUGGUGUAGCGGUGAAAUGCGUAGAUAUCAGGAGGAACACCGGUGGCGAAGGCGCACAUCUGGCCCGAUACUGACGCUGACAGCGCGAAAGCUAGGGGAGCAAACGGG